CACAUGCAAGUCGAACGAGCGAGAGAGAGCUUGCUUUCUCGAGCGAGUGGCGAACGGGUGAGUAACGCGUGAGGAACCUGCCUCAAAGAGGGGGACAACAGUUGGAAACGACUGCUAAUACCGCAUAAGCCCACGACCCGGCAUCGGGAAGAGGGAAAAGGAGCAAUCCGCUUUGAGAUGGCCUCGCGUCCGAUUAGCUAGUUGGUGAGGUAACGGCCCACCAAGGCAACGAUCGGUAGCCGGACUGAGAGGUUGAACGGCCACAUUGGGACUGAGACACGGCCCAGACUCCUACGGGAGGCAGCAGUGGGGAAUAUUGCACAAUGGGGGAAACCCUGAUGCAGCGACGCCGCGUGGAGGAAGAAGGUCUUCGGAUUGUAAACUCCUGUUGUUGAGGAAGAUAAUGACGGUACUCAACAAGGAAGUGACGGCUAACUACGUGCCAGCAGCCGCGGUAAAACGUAGGUCACAAGCGUUGUCCGGAAUUACUGGGUGUAAAGGGAGCGCAGGCGGGAAGACAAGUUGGAAGUGAAAUCCAUGGGCUCAACCCAUGAACUGCUUUCAAAACUGUUUUUCUUGAGUAGUGCAGAGGUAGGCGGAAUUCCCGGUGUAGCGGUGGAAUGCGUAGAUAUCGGGAGGAACACCAGUGGCGAAGGCGGCCUACUGGGCACCAACUGAC
rnacentral:rRNA from 1 species